AAAAGCGGGCAGAAAUUGCUGCCAUCGCGCUUAACCCGCAAACGCCUGAUUUCAACAAUACUAUUCUGGCACUGGAACAAAGCGGAGAAUUACUUACCCGCGUUACCAGCGUCUUUUUUGCGAUGACUGCGGC
rnacentral:misc_RNA from 1 species